CCAGGCGAUGGGUGGGGAGAGGAGGAGGAGGAGGAGGAAGAGGAGGAGGAGGGGUCCUCGCGGCUUUAUCUCCCACCCGCUCCGCCCGCCGUCGGCUGUCUCCCGUGACCGCAGCGCACCGGCGGGCGCAGCGCGGGCAGGGCAGCGCCCAUGGGCUGCGGCAACUCCACGGCCGGCAGCGCGGGCGGGCGAGGUGCUACAGGGACUACUAAAGAUGUGUAAGUACUUACUCUUCUCUACUCUUUUAAAUAUAUAACCCUGGACAUAUUUUCAGUCAUACUAGCCUUAUACUAGAUUUAGUCAUACAUGAUUAAUCUGGCUUCUAACAUAUAAUCAACACAACCAGAUGUUUACUGUCUCUAGUGACAGCUUUCAUCUCCACAAAACAACUCCUUGUCUUGUUUACUUUUCUACAGAUUUCUUUGCUUGUUAUUUCUCUAACAGAAAUUUCUUUUCUCUGCUUCUGUUGAGACAGUUUUCUACCAGAGCUGGUUAUGUUACUUCAGACUGCUUUUCCCCAUCAUGUGCCAGUGCACCUUUUUCCAAAGGCCAUCUAAUUGUAUGAAGCCAGCACAUACAUUUCCACCAGGCCCAGUGAGAGAUUUAGAAAGCCACUGAGAUAAAAUCCCUCUCUUUUGCAUGAGACCCACUAACCUGUCCAACUUCCUUUUCAAAGUACCCACCUUCUCUAGGUAUUCUCUGCAUUAAAGAUAGCAUCUAUUUGUUUGACACGGGGUAGCAGAGGCAGCCCUACCCAUCCUGUUUUUCUCUAAAUGUGCAAGAUCUUUUUUACGGCUAUACUUACUUGCUGAUACAGGAAUGCACAGGAACAGCUUUAUUCAGCCAUAAAUGUAUUUUUCUACCAAAGAAAACCAUAAAGAAUUCCUCCCCAAGGUCUUGCCUUCUCCUAUUUCUUGUUACUUGUAUUUGCCACUAGCUGGGAAAGAUUGUUAUGUUAUGCAAUAGGCACAUCCUUCGGUGUUAUUUACUUCGCUUAGAAUAACUCCUCUAAUUAGAUGGAGGAAUCCUUGUGUAGAAAUGAAGGCAGUCAAGUCAGAUAAACAAGUGGAGGGAAGAGCUUAACAACAGGCUUGUCCUUGCUAUUACAGAGCAAGGACAAGAGAACUAACAACAGGUGUCACUUGGCUGAUCAACACUGUUGCCACAGAUACUCUUGACAUCUGUCUUACCUCUGUAGUCUGUUUUCUGGGCUUGUAGUGCCAGACAAUAAAUUACAGAAGGGAAUCUUAUAAAGAACCUCUUCUUGAUGCAGCCUGCAGCAUCACUGCCCUCAGUACUCCUGUAUUUACAAACACACUGGUUUAAUUUAUGGAAGGACCUUAUUUAUUGUUCAAUUUAGACGAUUUAAGGACUGACUUAGAACUGCAUCUUUCUUUUUGCUCAUCAGUAGUUUUAAAUUUCAAAAUCUCAUGCACUGUUGAGUUAUGAAUGUUGUAAGCAUGUUCCUGUGCUUAAAGGUAUGGAAUAUGUAAACUGUGAGUAUAUGUAGAACUGUGUUUAACUGUGUGUAAGCCUUUUUAGAGCCUGGCUGCAGGAGUUAAAAUGGGAACAUCCUAUUAUUAGUGUGAGUUCAUUUGUCAUGUUUCAAAAUAGUAUCAAAAUAACAUAGAAAAAAAUUAAUUACUUGUGCAGUCUUCAACAAAGUGAAAGGGUCUAUUCUGGAGCUAUUUCUCAUUCAGAUUAGGGACAGUGGAGCCAACCAAACAACCCAUAUGAGUAAUAGCAUGGUUGAGCCUUCUAUUUGGAUGUUAGAAACACACACUUACUAAAGAGGAAUGGCAGUGAUGACCCAAAAGCCCUAAUCAGGCAUUCUAAUACUUAACAGAAGAUUUUUAUGAAGGAGGUAAACUAUCAGAAAAAUUACUUUCAUUUCAUAGAAAUGAAAAAAGCAGAUUUGUAUUAACUAAUAUUAUAGAUCCACAAAACUUUUUUUACACCUUUUUACUUUCAUCAGCUAAAGUUUCUCUUUAAGUAACCCUUAUCUUUUUCUUUUGCUGUCAAAUUUCAGUCAUAGCACUUUUGAUCCAGAAAAACAUUUAGGUGUGUCCAUCCUUUCAUGCUUUUGGAUACCAAAUCUGGUUAUUCUAACAUGAGGUUUCUCAUUUCUUGACUGUGACUCAUUGCCAAAGCACCAUGACUCCUGGAGUGCACAGCCAAAUGGAAGCGAAGAGGGCUGGAUCCUGCUCGGGGCCCUCCUGGGUGACUGUGAGGAAGCUGCUUUGCCCUCUGGGCCUGGAGUUUCUCCAUCAAUUAGAUAGGGGUGAUGAUAUGAUCUUCCUCUGAAAGGGUUCUUCCUCUCUGAGGGCUGUGUGGUGACAAGGACACAUGCUCUGAGAGCAUGUCUGCCCUCUGUGCUCCAACCCAGGAUCUGCCAGCCAGCUUCAGCCCAUACUCCUGCCCCAUUAAUCAAGAAACAUUCAUCACUGCUAAUUGGGAAAGCCUAGCUGUAGGAGAAGUAAAGGAUAUGCUAGAAAGUAAUGCAAUGCCUGUGGUAUUCAGUGUUUAGCUAAGUCUGGGGGAGGAUUAGUUACACUAGGAAGGAAAGGAUACAGCAGUUAAAUUCCAUUUCAAAAUAUUGAGAAGAAAUGCAUCAAAUACAAAUUAAAGGCACUUGUUCCCAAGAAACACCAAGAAUCUGAGGAGUAGUUGUCUGUCACUUGUUCAAAGUUCAAUGGAUCAUUAUUAGUGGGACUACUGAACCCAUGUAGAAAGAGUCUCUAUAAUGAUCGGAACAAAC